AAAUUUUUAUAUUAAUAUAGUUAGAAAUUUAGUGUUAUUUUUUUUAUUUAUAUGAAUUAUUAGAUAAAUUUAAUUUUUAAAUAAAAUUAGAUUUUUUUAAUUAGUAUAUAAUUUUAAUAUAUUUUUAUUAAUUUAGAAUUAAAUAUUAAAUUAAAUAAAAUUUGUGCCAGCAAUUGCGGUUAAACAGUUUAAUUAAAUUAAAUUGAAUAGUAAUAAAAAUUUAAAAUUAGAUUAAUAAUAAAAAUUUUAAUUUUGUGGUGAAAUAUAAAUUGAUUUAAAAAUAAUUUUAUUUAAAGUUAAAAGUGAUUUUAUUGAACUAGGAUUAGAUACCCUAUUACUGAUAAAUAAUUUUAUUUACUGAAUAAUAAAUGAUURUCAUUAAAUUUAAUAAUUAUGGUAGUAGUUUAAAAAAUUAGAGGAAUCUGAUGAUUAAAUUGAUAUUCCACGAUAAGAAUAACUUAAAUUAAUAUAUUUUGUAUAUUUGUUAAAUAGAGUUUAAAAAUAUUUUAUUAAGUUUAUUUUAUAAAUUUAAAAUUAAAAAAGUUCAAAUCAAUAUUUAUUUAAAUUUAAGGUUUAAUUGGAUUACUUUAUAUUAAUAUAUAAAUUAGUAUUAAGAAUUUAAUAAUUUAUGAUAAUUUAAUUAAAAGGAUUUAAAAUUAAUUUUUAUAAAAUUUGUAAAUUUGAAUUUAAAUUUAAAUUAAAUACAAAUUGCCCGUCACUCUUUACUAAAGAUAAGUCGUAACAAGGUAAGUAAAUUGGAAAAUUUACUUAGAUU
rnacentral:rRNA from 1 species